rnacentral:misc_RNA from 1 species
GAUAAACUAAUUUGUCCUUGAACCUGUAGAUAAAACAUCAGCAUAGCAAAUGAGCUUGAAAAGUAUGAAAAUUGAAAAGGAAUAUAAGUGAAAGUUUAAUAGAAGGAUAGAGAGAAUAUUUUGAAGGAUUAUCAUGCAAUUCGACCAUAAAAAGGAUAGACUAUAAAUAAGUUAACUAUGACCCAGAAUAUUAGGUAGUAAUAAUCACAUAGAAGGAGUAGAAAAUAGCUGUCCAGGACAUUUUGAGACCUCCAAAUACAAAAGCAGCUAUUGAGUAAGGCUGUUGAAAAUUGGGUGACUUAGAAAAGCAAAACAAGGCACAGCAAUCCAGUCAAUAUUAUGUAUAAACAUGCAAAAGCAUCAAAAUAUCACCUACAACACUAAAUUCCAUAAAAAUUUCUAACCUCACCUUUCCUUAUCUUUUUGUUUUGUGUUUUUAUGUAUGUUAAACUCACCAUCCUUUUCACACAUUGCUUUAUCCUGUGAAGAGCUCUUUAACAACUACUUCGCUCAAGGUUUAUGUAAUUAUAAUAUGUUCAUGGAAAUGAAACAAGAAAUUAGUUGUCAAUAACUUGAACCCUACUCCAAAAUAAUGGAACAGAAGC